UCUUAUCUUUGGUAUGGUAUUUCUUAUUUUAGUUAAUGGCCUCACUGCCCACUCAUUUUGCCAAGCCUUUGGGAGUCAUCCCCAACUCCUCCAUGUUCUUUCUUUCUCCCGCACAACCAAGCAUCAAAUUCUGCUAAAUUUAUCUCCUAAAUUUUGUUAAAAUCCUUCCCCCUCCCACCCCAUGCCUAUAAUCAUGUCAGCUUUUGCUUGACUUGUUGCUAGUCUUCUAACUUAUCCUUCUACCUCUGAUGUCUAUCCCUAGUUGUCUUUCUAAAACUAAUAUCUUAUCAUCCUUUUUACCUUCACAUUCAGUGUCUCCCUACCUGGAAUGACAUUUUAUCAGAAGAUAGAGUUUGUGAAUUCCUGCUCACCCUGUAAGAUGCAGCUCAAAUAUUGCCUCGUCUGUAGUGUCUUCUCCAGUUGCUCUAGGAAAGGUAUAGGCUUUGCUAACCUUUUAUGGAUAUCUCUAUUAGAGCAUUUAUCAAAAAUUAUUGUGUGAUUAUUUCUGAGCUCUAAGCAGGAACUGGGUCUGAUCUACUGUUGUGUCUACAGGGCUCUGGCACUCAAUAAAUGACUGGUGAAGGAAUUAAUUUUGAUGGGAUCAAGGACAGAUUCAUUAAGGUGGUGACAUUUGAGCUGGACCUUGAAGCAGAAGUAGAAACUAUUAUUAUUAGUUAAAUUGCUUAAUCCAUCUUUCCCUAUUGUUCAGUGACAGGUCAUUCACACUAGGUCAUUAUAAACCAGGAUUUCACAAAUACAAAAUGCUAACUUGAGAAGGAUAAAAAAAUAUCAUAUUUAAAUUUUUAUAUUUGCCUAAUUUAUUUUUCACUUUAAAUAGUAAGAUACUUCACUAGAUCCUUCUGUGGUAAUCAUUAAAAAAGACUUUAAGCUCUGCCCUAGUUUCUUUCUGAAAUACCUAGCCAAGUCCCAAAGGUUUUAACUACAUGCAAGUGUACUAGAGUGAGGGACUCCUCCCUGUUUUGAAGACCAUCUCUUUUUGUGGCAACAUGGUGUGGUUUAUGGAUAUAUAAGCAUUUGAGUUUAUACAAACUUGAACAGGAAGAAUGGAAUAUGCCACAACCUCAAUAUGGUGGUUAUCUCUGGAGAAGGAGGAGAUUCCUUGGAAUGAAACCAAUGGGAGAUCAGGGUUUGGGAGAGUCUCAUCAGAGCAGAUGGGCCAGCAGCAGCCAGAAAGCUUGUUGCCUUUGGCUGAGAGCACCAUCCUGGAUCUGACGUCUUAUGGAAAAACUGAAGCCUAAGGAGAGGAAUGGACUUGCCAUGGACAUUUCAGGAGCCCAGAGGCAACUCGGGCCAAGGAGCCCCUACCUGGACACCUUUGUGCACCUUGCUGUCCCCAGCCCAGGGCCCUUGAGGAAUAGCCUCCCCAUGAGUAACACAGGGUCAUCACGUCUUCCGUGGCCACAGUGCUAGGCUGUGAAGAUCAAAGGAGAAACUGUGCUAACAUCCUUGGGCAACUGUGAAGCUCUCUGCCUGAGGUAGGAGAUUAAGUACCAUCAUCAUCAUCCCUAAUGGCUCCCAGAUCCAAGAGAUCCAGGCUGACCCCUCCAAGGCUUUAUCAAGCAAUGCUAACAGCCAAGUCUCAGUGGAACUAGGUCCUGCUCUGAAGAUCAUAGGUAUUGGUGAUACAGAUGGGGCAGGGCAGGUCCAGGGUCCAUUCUGAAUCUCCAGCAGCUCAAGAAUGGGCUGAAUCCCCACUUGCUCCAUCCCACCAACCUUCCCACCCAGGGGCCUCACCACACUCAUCUGCUCACUGGACCCUCACAACACCUUUGUGAGCUCAGAAGGACAGAAAGGCCUAUCCCCUUUUAUAGAUGAGGAAAUGGGCCCAGGGAGAGACAGCUGACUUUUUAUGGUCACACAGCACGUCCCAUCCUCCUACAUCAGGAAUCAUUCUCUUGACUCUUAGCAAAGAGAGAGAUAAGAAAAAGAAGCCAAGACCCUUGCAACUGAGCCCUGAUCUCUCCUUAGGAUGCCGUUGCCCUUUGAAUCAGGGAAGGAAGUGAAAGUGAGGUCUCUGCUUCCCCACUGAAUGUUCCUACCAGGGCUGGCCCAGGCCCAGCCCAUGCUCAGCUUGGCUCCUUAAGUAGACACCAAUUCUCUGCCUUCUAGUCCACCUGGGACCCCGUGUUCUGAGCGUUCCUCAGGGAGCCUGGACUCUGAACUCUGCUCUGCACUAUCAGACUAGUCCUAUAUUAAGACUGGCUAGAGUCUCCUCUUUGGCAAGAGUCCUAGGCUCUCCUGAGACUAGAGCGUCCUAUAGGGCCAUGUGGGGCCCUUCACUUGAGCAGCAUGAUGAGGGUGCCUUCUUCCCCCUUAGAGCCCAGGUGACAGGAGUGGCCACCUACUCCUGGGAGUAGGUCUGGGAGACCAGGGCUGCCCUGUUCCCCAAAGACUGGAGUCACAGUGGGUGACAGGUCACAUUUCUUCCUAGGCCUAGUCCCAACUGUGCUACCAACUCAUUGUGUGGCCCUGAGGGCUGGCUCCCUUUUCUGAGCCUCAUUUUUCCAUCUAGAAGAUGAGAGGAAAUGACCUCUAAGGGCCCCCUUGGUUUGACACUCUAAAUUUCCAUUUGCUCAUUGAGCCUGCUCCUCUUUCCAGCUGGGGUGCACUCUGCCAGCAUGGGGCUGCUGAGGGUUACUCUGGAGGCAGGCACUUCACUUGUUUGGGAGAAUUCACUACAGGGCCAGGUACCCUGGUCCUCUGAGACCUCCCUCAGGGUCUGCAGCCACCCAGGCUGUGGAACCCAGCUCCCAGAUAGAGGGUCAAGGAGGUGGGGCAGGAGGUUCUCCUGCCCCUCACCACUCCCCCCACCUUGGGGGGAGGAGAGAGGGAGGGACCUACUUCCUAGUUUCAUCUGUGGUAGGUGGAGGCCACGUUAAAUAAACUCAGCCUCGGGAAAGUCUUCAUUUACACAAUACAUGGCUGAAGUCACUUCACAAAAACCCCUUUCCACUAGCUGAGCACACAGGCUGUCUCUAAGACCAUCAGUACUUGCUGACCUGAGGAGCACAGAAUUUGCAUAUAGGUCUAAGUGACUCACUGUGGCAUUCAGCCAAGUCACUUCCCCUCUCUGGGUCAUUUUCCUAAUGUCCACACUGUGUGGCUGGCCCAGAGGAGUUAGGGCAGGCAGGCAGGCAGGCGGGUUUCUGGUUCUGAGGGCCUGUGGUUUCCCGUGGUGCCCUGCCCCGCCCCAGCAUCAUGCUGUGUGAGAAAAUGGCCCAGAUGCACCACCCAGGCCUGGGCCACACACAUCUGCCACAGUCAAAGAGCAGCAGCCUCAACCAAAUAGGCUGGGGAAGACUGGGGAGGGCCAGGGUGCCUUGUGCCCACAGGGAUCAGCUAGAUUGGCAUGAUUUCUGGCCAUGUGCCAAGCCCUGGGCAGCCCCAGACUGAGCCCCAUGACCCUGUCCUCAGCUCAACACACAGACAUCACAGACUAAAUCCUAACCCCAGGUUCACCCUGGCCCUGGCUUGGCGCAGACCAGACCUUGGUACAGGCAGCCUUUUCACAGAUGUGAACCUCAGCAUGAGGCAUGCCAGAGAAGAGAAUAUGGGCAGCCCACCGCCCACAGCCCCCAGCUCACCGGAGUGGGAUGCGGAUGGCGAUGUAGCGGUCAAUGGCGAUGGCCAGGAGGCUGAAGAUGGAGCUCUGUGUGAGGACCAGGACAAAGCAGGCGAAGAAGAGGCAAUUAUGGCAGGCAGCACAGAACCCUGUGCUGAUGGUGAUGGCGAAGGGGAUAGCGAGGACUCCCACAGCAAUGUCGGCUGCCGCCAGUGACACCACAAAGUAGUUGGUGACGUUCUGUAGGUUGCUGUUCAGCCACACAGCCCAGCACACCAGCACAUUGCCGAGGAUGGCCAGCACAGCAAUUGCCAGCUCCACCAUGAUGUACACCCAGGAGCCCAUGGUGGGCAUGGCCGCAGACAGGCAGGGUCAGCAAGGACACGGGCCAGGCCAGCUCACGGUCCAUAGCUGCAGUGCAGCUGGCCCUGCCCAGGCCCCUGAGCCCCUUCUUCACAGGAGCCAAGAGCGUCCCUGCAGGCAAGCGGGGGGGGGGGGGGGGCUCCCCAAGGGCUGUUUCAGAGCCAACUCUGAGUCUCCAGAAACCAGACCCUCUUCAGGGGCUCCGGCAGCAUCUUGGCUCAGCUCGGCUUCACAGUCCCCGAGGCACCUGCCAAGGGAGAAGCCUUGUGAGGAGCUGGACCAUGGGCAGAGAGGGAAAAGCUGAAGAUUCCCAGAGGUAGCCCUCAGCCCCAGCUUACCAAUGCCCUCCCUGCAGGCCAGGCAUUAGCCUGAGAACAGCCCACUGUGCCCUGCCCCUCCCACCCUGGACACAGAGGGCUGGGGGUCAGCCUCAGUCCUUGUUUUUUCUAGGGGAGCCAGGAAUCUUUUUAAAGUUAAGUCACUUGUGUUGCCCCCACCCCCACCCCAUGCUCAGCUUCUCAAGCCUUUUGUGGCAGCCCUGCCAGUCUCCUGGGUCCCUGAGCUCACUGCCACCCCCAUGACCCUUCCAGAAAGGCCCCCUCACCCCCUUGGACUCUCCCAGGUCCACCUACCUUCUCUCUCAGCCAGCUUCAGUCUGCUCCAUCCCCCAAGAGCUCUUCCUGGGAACUACCAGCACCUGCCUAAGCUGCUAGGUUAAGGAGCAGGCCUAGAGUUCCAAUCUGGAAGGACCUGGGUGGUCCAUCUUGUCCUGUCUUCCACUGCUGGCAGCUAAGCCCCCCCUGCCCUUGCUGGUGAUGCUGCACAGUGUGGAGGAGCAGUCACCAAGGGAGCCCGCUCCUCAGCAGCCCCUGCCAGCUGACUGCACAUCUGGGCAAGGGAACCGCCUCACCUCCCCCCCCCUCCCUCCUCCCACGCCCGCUCCCCAACCUGCUCCUCUGCCUGGCUGAUGCCAGGACAGACUGAAUUCAGUUUGGUGCUGUGCAGAAGGCAGGGUGCUCAGCCAGGACUUCCUGGGGAACUGCAGGCAAGGAUGUUUUUUUCUUUUCUAGGCCUCAGUUUCCUCAUUGAUACAGUGAGGAGAUUGGACCCCAGAUAGCCUUUGGGGGUCAUUUCAGCUCUCACUCAUGAUUCUAUGAGAAGGAAAUAAACAGAUCUUAAAGGGCUCCCCCAGAGUGAAAAUGUCAUAGAAAUGUAAGGAAUUGCUGACCCUCCUGAGAAGCACAAGCAGAAGUAGAGGUCUUGGUUUCCCCCAGCCCAAACCCCUAGUGUUCACCCUUGAGCUUGUGAAAUGGUCUCCAUAUCCCCUACCAGCCUAGGGGCCCCUCCCCACAGCCUCUGCCCCCACCUUAUCAUGCUCACAUGUGCUGCCCAGUGGUGUCCCCUCAUGCCAAAUCAACCUACUCCUCCCGUCCUGGGCCUUCACGGGUCCCUAGGUGCACAUGGGCGGCAACUGCUGCCUGCAUGGAGACAAGAGGCCCAAAGCUGCCCUUCAGCUUCCCACACUUGGGCUCAGGAAACUGCAUCCUCCCUCACUCCUCCAGGACACAAGGGAUAGAGCAGGGCUGGUGAUCUUGAGAGAAGGUCACUCGUGGUCCCUGGCCAUGUUCAAGGGGCCAGGCUGCAACAGAUGAACACCAAGUUUCCUUCUGACUCCUGUGUGCUUCAGGCGGCUGGAACUAUAUCCAAGGGGUAUUCCCUAUGCCCACUAGGAGGCUCCAAUGGAGCACACAACACCAGGAAGCAGGACAGAGAAGAGGAGGCAAAGUGCUUGAAAAAUGGGGGGGUUCUUGCAGCCAGCCCAAUGGCUUCUCUCAGGCCUGGCAGGGGCCCGCCACCAAGAGACCAUGAAUGAAUCUCAGGGCCCUGCUAUACACAGGGUACUUGCCAGCCAGCUGCUCAUAAAGCAUGUCACUGGCAGAGGAGGAUCAGACCAAGUCUCCUGGUGCUAUCCCUGGCCACAGAGUGUCCCUUGGUGCUCCUGGCCUAUAGCCUAAGACAGCAUUCACCAGGGACCACCCUACCCCACCCCCAGCUGCAGAAGCCAUGUGUCUAGGGUCUUGUUUUUAUUCUCCAGAAGGGAAGUGACAGGCCCCGAACUACUUCCCUCCUAGGGGCCUCCCAGGCCCAGCACUAGCAGCAGGCCACUGUCCAGGCCAAGGGAGCCUUAGGGAACCCUACCUCCUCCUACCAGUGAGCCGCCUGCUCUCCUAGCCGCCUAACCAUCACCUGCCACCCUUCUUACCCAGACUUCAACCUCUCCAGGGGAAUUUGCAUUCGGAGGCACCACAGCCUCUGCCAAUCAGACCAACCCAGGCUAGAAGCAUGACUUGGCCCCAGACCACUGUCCAGAUUCAGAGGGCACCUGGCCUGGGGGAAGAUGAGGUGGGAUCACCAACAAUCCACCUAACCCAAAUACGUAUCACAUUUCUGUGGAGCCAGGCUGUCCUGCCCCAAUGCCCUGAGCCCUACUGAUGGGGUCACACCACCAGCACCCGUCCUGGAUGCCAGGCUGCCUCCAUGAGCCAGGCUGCCUGGAGUGGAAGGACCUUCAAGGGGCCUAACCCAGCCCUCUGUUAGGUGAGGCUCUCUUGGCAGCCCUGGGUACCUGCCUACAUAUGCCCAGUCCUCAGGGUCUCCCUACCACCACCCUCUGUGCCAUGGGCCCUCAUGUUGAACAGCACCUGGGACCAACACUCUUCCUGACUAAACUGAAGCUACCUUUCUACUGCCCACCAUGCCUGGGGCACCUUUCCAAUCUCACUGGAUGCAAUGGAUCUUAGUGGUCACCGAUCCUCCUACCCACAUCAGUCUUGCAAGGGGCUAAAGGCACACCUAAUGCCCCUGAGUCCUAAAAGGCUGCCUCCUUGCACAUCUAGUUGCCCAUCUGCCCUUCCUACAGCAUUUCUGCAGGCUCUUCUAGCUGCUGCCAGCACAUCCUGGGGUGAGACUGGCCUGGCCCCACAGGAAACCUGGGCAUCUGUCAAACCAGAGUGCUGGCCCCAAGCAGCUUAGCUGCUGCUCUCAACUCUCACUGCCCUCAUCAGUGGAGCUCAAGGCACCAGGGGGCAGACAAGGCAGGGAGAAGGCUGCACAGCCUCCUACUGGAGCUAUUUUGUGGGAAGGUUGGGAGCUUCCCAGCCAUAGGUGGGCAAAUCAGUCUGGGAGGUGGGAGCAUCCUAACUUGUGGCCUUUGCCAGACGUUCAUGGUAUAAAUGCUCCCCAUAUGGCCAAUUUCAAGCUACUAACAUAUGUAUCACUGACAGGAAAUGGCAAUUAACACAACUUGAGAGACCCUAUGCCACUAGGUUCCAGCCGCCACUAAGCCACCACACCCUGCGCUCUCCCUGGAUGCCGAGACUCUACGCAGACCUUCUUAGCUUGUGCAGCCUGCUUCGGAGCUCAUGAUGUGAGGGCACAGGGACAUUGCGGUCAUCUGUGUUCUCACUGGCCCCAUGAGCCCCAUUUUACAGAUGAGGAAGCUAAGUCCCAAAGAGAUUAACAACCUCUCCCAGUCUUACAGAUACCAAGAGCAUAAAAGGGUGAAAUAGAGCGGAGGGAAAUGCCCAUAAUAAACACAGAAGCAGGAAGAUUUCUUGGGGCCUGCUGGCCCCUCUCUGCUUCCCUCCCUUCUGAGGCCUCCUAGAGUGACAGGAAGGUUGGAGGCCCAAGGGGAGGGGGCCAGGGGCGGAGCCAGGAUCUGACAAUUUCCUAUCCCUCUCUGCUGACUCUAAUUCUUGAGUCAUCUGUUGCUAGCCAGGAGGGGAAAUUAAAUGUUAAUAAUGUAAUAUUUCCCUGUGAUUAUCCUUCUUUGGGGACAGGGCAGAGGGCAGAAGCUGUCCCAUAUAAACUAGAGACACAUGUUGGGGAAUGUGCAUGAUAAGCCUUGAAAGGACAGCUCCCAGGAUUCCCAGGAGUCAGACUCAAAACUGCUGCUUCUUCUGGCCUUCCUUCUUAUCCCCACCAACCUGGCCAUUUUAAUUAAAACUCCAUUUAAUCAAAACCCACAUAUUUCCUGGCCCACUUCUGGCUCCUUGUAAGUCAGACUAGUGAGGCUUUCUGUACACAUGCCCAGAUGGUGGCUGUACACCCCAGAGCCUGCCUUCCAGGCAGGACCCUGCACCUCUGCUCCUGGGUGCUGCUAAGGGCAAUAAACUAAGCCAAGUGUAGGGACUUAGACCUGGCAUAACCAUGCUUGGCCCAUUCCUGGGCUCCAGAAUCCUAACCUGUGUCUCUUCCACUACUUCCUCAUAGCAAAUGUUAUACAAAUGCCUACCCUGUGCCAUGCAGCAUCCCAACUGCUGGAUCACAGGGAGCUCUGUGCCACGUGCUACUGAGCCUGGCCUUAGCAAGGUCCUGAGCCUACAGCAGGGGACCUGGAAGGAGGAACUGUCCCAGGAGAGUGUGCUGAGAGCCAGCUGCUGCCUUAGUGUGCAGGUCACUCCCUGUCUCCAGGGCCUCCAUUCCCACUUAAGAUGACCCUGUAAGCCACAAUUUCAAAGCACAGGAGAAAAGCUCAAGCUAAGAAAGAUAAAGCAGCAGCACCCUGAAUAUGGAGUUUCAUUCAUUCUGGAAGAGGUGAAGGUCAUAAUCUAAUAAUGUUUUUCAAAGACAUUUAGGGUCUUCAAAGAGAUGAAAAAAGGAAUAGCACCCAUAAACAAGAAGGAGAACUUAUGGCUUGACUGGCAAAAGCGAAACAAGAACAGGUGAAUGAAUAUGAGCCAGAAAGAAUAUAAGGUCCCCAAAAUGAAAAGUCAAGGGAAUGAGAGAACACCAUCAACACGAUGCACUUCAAGCAUGUACACAAUUGAAGAGACAACUGGGGAUCUGAGGAAUGAUCAGCCCUGAGGUACUAUCACAGGAACUUCACAAAGACACGAAGCCCAGCAGGAGAUACUGUUGAGAGACACAGAAGGUAAAUUGAGAAAGAAGUAUGGACAUCUGUCUAAUGGGAGCUCAGUGAGCGUGCAGAGAGCAACAAGGAAAGAAGAAAUAGCUAGACAGGCAGCUUAGCUCCUGCUGCCAACCACACGCCCUCCGCUAGCUCUGUCAUGACUGGUGUUUGGAGUGGCCCAAGCCUGGGCACAAGCCUCCCAGAACCCCAGGGCCCUGGGACCUACCAAGCCCCAUCAACUGGAGUGGGACCAGUGUCUUCCGGUGCUGCCUGGAGGAAAGCCGUAGAGCACCGGUGCCUCUUGCCUCCCCACUUCCCUCCCUGCAGGAUAACUUCAGGAACAUGGUGCAGGCUCGGCCCAAAGUAUCAGGCAGGCAUCCAGUGGUACCCCCUCUCCCACAGGCCCUCCAUGUGGCUGCUGUUCUCAGCUCUGGGAGGGCAGGAUGUGUGCAGGAACCAGCCGGGUGGAGAGCCAGUUCCCUGCACUGAGUCUAGCCCCCCUAGAGCAACCUCCACAGCACCAGCCCCUGGGGCCACAGGGCCUUGCCACAGCUCCUUUCUCCCCACAGGGGGCCCAGAGUUCGUCUGACAUCCCCGAAUGUCCAGGCCAGGUACUGGAGAGACUGCAUCUUCCCAGCCUGAGGUGGCCAUUCACCCUCUCACUGGCUGCUGCAUCUGAUGGCCUCCCUCCAAGAGGUCACCCCACACACAAGGUGCUGGGUGCCCACUCUGUGGUGGAAGGAGCUCAGGUGGGAUCCCACUCCUGCUCCAUCCCACAUUCCUUGAGAUCCUGAGCAGAGUCUUCCCUUCUGUACCGAUGCUCCUAUGAGACAGCACCCUGGAAGUGCAUAGCACCCACACCUCCCUGAAAAGAACCCUCUAAUGGUAGGAUGACAGGCACUAUGAUGCCAGAAAGAGAUGUGGGGUGGGGGUGAGGGGAGGCGGGGAGGUUCCUAGAUGGCCCUAGUGGGCCUGGGGUGGGGCCCUGGGAGAAGGCUGGCCUGUUGGAGGGCAGGAGCUGCCCAGAAAGUGGAGGAUGGGAGGGAGGCAGACCCACUUCUGGGGUCCCUGGGAUGAAGGCAUGAUGAUGCAGCCCUGGAGGCUGAAGGGAGAGGGUAAACCAACUGCAGCAUGGCCUGUGGGCUGGCCCAGAUGCCACACGGCUCUGCCACUGCUCCUCGUUCCAUGAGGCGCCCCCCACCCCCACAAUUUGCAAAGUCCACUGAGGAGCCAGAGGUGAAUGCCCCUGUGAUGGAUGGGCAGACAGAGACCACCAGCCCAGAUACUAGGAGAGGCACCAGAGUGGUGCUGCCUGCCUCUCCCUGGUGCAUUAAGGCAGCCUUUCCUCCCAAGUGAUAGCUGGGCUGGUGGGUGUAGCAGCAGCAGAAGUGGGAGCGGCACCAGCCCCUGCCCAGCAACUUCUGAAACAGGACUGUCCUGCAGAAGAGGGCCCAAAGCACUGUGGAUGGUUUCCCAGAGGAGGGGCCGAUUGGGCUGGACUUGGAGGACAGGGAAGUGAGGGAGCAGGGAGGGAAGAGAGUCCAGGCAAAGACAACAGCCUCUGUGAGGCUCAGGGGCCUGAGGGAGUCCUGGAAAGCUGGAGCACCCAGCUCCCAUCUGCCCCCGGCUGGAGUGAGAGGCAGCUGGUCUUCCCCUCCACCCAGACCUUCCCAUCCCCAGAAGGAUCCCAUGGACUCCACAAUACAGGGGUCCUUUUCAUGAUUCUAUAGGCGGGGGCUGGGGGAUCUUUGCCACUAAAUGGCCCCUCCCUACCACCUAGAGCUCCCAGGCCUUGGCCAGAAGAUGAGCAGUCUCUUGGGGAGUGGCGGGGGGGGGGGGGCGGGGAGUGCUGUCUGCAUCCCAGCUCCAAGCUCCUAUCCAUCCCCCACUUCCCUUCCCCAUUUGACCCCAGCCCAGACCUCCAGGAUACUGCCCUCAGGCACCACAACCCAACUACUCCCUCCAACCUCCAGACCAUGAGGUAACCCCUCCCUUCUGUGACUGCCAAUGCUUCCCUGGGCCCAGGCUCCUUCCCUGGGGGUUCAGACUCAUUCCUUUUGCCUGCUCAGCACCUGACAAUCUCCUCAGUAGCCCCUGACACACACCCCCAAACUCCUUCUCAGCAUAUACUUCAUGCCCUAGCCAUCCCUCUGGUCAUCCUCCCCUUAGCUUCCCGUGUGCACAGCUUUCAGUGCCCAGCUUGAGUUGCAGCAGAUGAGACAAACGCCACAAGAAGGUUGGGAUGGCUAUUCCAGCUCACUGGGGUAAGGUAGCUCAGGAAUGCAGUUAGAUGCUUGUUUGCAGGGUGUGAUGCCCUGAAACCAAGUGCUUGCCUCCAAGCCAACUCCAAUCCACAUGUCCCUCUGUCAACAGUGAUCCCCUGUGGUGCCCCCCACCCCACCUCAAGGCCAAUAGCCUCCCUCUGUUCCCUAACUAAAGCAUAGACCCCAACCUGUCCUCUGGUCUGCCUUGCCUCUCUCUCAUGCUCAUCUCUCGUUUACUCUCCACAACCCUGUACACCAAGCAUUGUUCAUUCCAUCAUGCUUGUUUUACAAAUAAGACAGAUUCUAAGGGGGCAGUGACUUGCCCAAGGCUGCCCAGCAAGUGCACCAAAGAGGCAAGAGCAGAACCCAGGUUUGGGCAUCGAAAUCUGUGGUCCAUUGGGUACCCUUGAAGCCAGCCUCUCUUGGGCCGUGGGCUCCUGGGGGGCAAGACCACAGUGUGGUUGGGGGCCUACACUUCACAGACCAACAUGAGGGAGGGCAACAUGUAAGCCCCCAAAGGUUGGCCAGGACUGGCCUGGACCAAAGCCUCUCUCCUCCCAGCCAUAUCUGGGCCAUCCUCAGCUUCUCUGAGGUUAUGAACAGGGAAGCUGGCUUAGCCCAGAACCUGAUCUGCACUGAGGGGAUUGGGAUGGAGGGGCAGUGGCCAGAGGGACACUGGAAACUGGGAGAACCAUGAGGACUCUAAAGGACAAGGACAGAGCAAGGAGGUGUUGACACCACUACCUGUGGACAAGCCACAGUGAGGAGCUCCUGUCAUAGACCUGCUGAGACCCGAAAUGGGGAGCUGGCCCACAGGGCAGAGCCUUCCCAGCCCACCCAAGGCCUCCAGGAUUAGCUACAGCAGGACUAAGGAGGGAGCCCCUGACCCCACAACAUCCUCCCUGGCCCACUGCGCUCCAGAGAGCUCCCCAGCUCCCCAUCAUGGUCCCUCCCCUCCUCCCCCCCACCAGCGGGACAACCAGGAGCAACCAUGUUGGGGAAUGGAGGCAACAUGGAGUCUUCUGGAGGGUGCAGAAGCUGGCAGUCCAGGCAGCUGGACAGCAGAGACCAAAGAGGGCAGCCUGAGCUCUGGGCCAGAGGCAAGCACAGUCCCUUUGGGUGGAAACGGGCCUGGGUGCUCCCUACGAUGGUGAGGGACAGCUGGCCAAAGGGACAGCCUACUCCUUUCCCAGGGGCCAGCCACAACUCCAGUCCUAGGGAAUGGGGGAUGGGGAGACCUGCCCCCCAGCUUCUCUUUCUCAAACCCCAACAGAUCCCUAGGGCUCCACCUUCUUCCCAUUUUACAAUAUGAAAAAUUAAAAUCUAAAGCGGCCUGGCAGUGCCAGAACGCAGAGAUCUCUGUGCCGCGGGGCCUCGGCCCCCUCGUUUAUCCUUUGGACCGUCCUGCGCCAAGUCCCUCGAGGGCCGCCACCAUUCCCGCCAUUCCUACCUCCGCUCAAAGCAGCCCGGCAGACGGCCUGGACCAGUCUGAGCCGUGUACCCACCCUGCCCGUCCUCCGGCCUCCCCUGGGUCCCCUAAGUCCGGGUCCCGCCACCACUGUCCCCGGAACGCGCCUGCCUCGCCCCGGCGUUCCAGACUCCUCGCCGCGCCCCAGGCGUUAGGGAUGCGGAGCGUCUGCCCUCGCCGUUCCUUCCCCGGAAUGCCGUCCCCGCCCCGGGCUUCUCCACCUGCGGAAGCCCUCUCUCACCCCCGGGUGUCCAACCCGCCCUCCUUCAGGCCGCACCUCGGCGCCCCCAGCCCACCCCAGCCGGCCGCAUCGGAAAGGUUCGCCGAGUUCCCUGGGGCCGGCCAACGGCGCCUGGACGGACCGACGGACGUUCUCCGCACGUCACCUGUGGGUCCAGACGCCUGCCCCACACGCCCCGCCGCCGGGGCCGCCUCACUCUCGGGCCCUCUCCCCUCCCCUCCCCGCCCACCCGUGCGCACCUUCCGGUCCAGUUUGGGGCGGCCCGUUGGGUCGCACACCGCUCUUCGACCGAGUUUCGGACGUGCGUCCGCGCCUGAGCCGCCCUUGCACCCGCCAUUUCAGCCCCCGCCUCGGGGCAGGGAUCGGACCCCAGCUCUGUGAACUCGCUCUCGGGGCGGCGGGAAGACAGGGUAGGAGUGGCGGGGUGCCCUGAGGGGAGGGGUCCCGAGCCACCCGUCCCUCCCAACCCCGCAGCCUCCGACGGUCCCCUGCCGCCCGGCCGCCCGCCCGGGACCUCGGGACCCCAGACCGGAGACCCCUCCUGACCUGCAGCUCGCGCGCCGGCUCCCGCUGUCUCCGCGGCGUCUCGGGCUCGGGCUCGGGCUCCGGUCGCGCCGCUCACGGGCGCCCCCUGCAGGCGGCUUCGAGACCCGCGCUGUCCCCGCCCCGCCCCGCCGCGCGGGGAAACCGAGGCCCGGAGUGGGCCCGGGGAUCGGGGAUCGGAGGAGCCGGCCUGAGAGCCCGGCCGAUGCCCGCGGUAGGACGAGGCCGCAACCGGCUGGACCGUACCGCAUCCUCGUCCACGGCCCUCAGCGCGCUCUUCCCGGCUCGAGUCCGUCGGGCCUCCUCCAGAGCCACACCCCCUCCUUUCCUUCCACCACGAGCGUCUGGCCCCAGUCCUUCUUCCCGCCCCGUGAAGCCCGCCGGGCCCCUGGCCUGUAUUCCCUUUCCUCCAGGAAGACUUCAGGGCUGCCCCUGCCGUUCUAGUCUUCCCAGAGCUGUACUGUCCCUUAUCAUUGAAGCUGAGCUGGUCAGUGCCUGCCUGUGUCAUCCCUCCCCAGUGUCUAACUGUGACCCAGGAAGUGCCCAUGCCAGAUCCUCCUCAAGUCUUUCCACGGCUGCACUGUUCCUGAUAAAGCCCAGUCUCCUUCCCUUGGCAUUCAAGGCUUUCAGCGAUGAGGUUCUGCCUGGUCUCCAGCUUUGCCCUCCCUUCCUGAGUCCUGCCCCAAGCUGGGGGGUGGGGGACGCGGUACCUCAGCUCAAAGGAUGCCUCUAGAAAGCUGGCCCCAAUAUCCAGUGACCCAUCUGACUGUCCCAGCACAGACUCUGGGGCCAGGGCCCCUCCUGUUCUUAUAGCCUCUGGGGCUCAGUUGGGACCUGUCCCCCCACUUCCACUUCUCUGAGCAAAGUGAUGGGGAGUCACUUUCUGUGCCAUACACUAGCCUGGAAUCUCAACCCCUUGGGCUGGAGUCCAUCCUCCCCUCAUCCCCAACCCCAUGUUUUAGAUACUUCAAAUUGGGAAUGACCUCACAACGGCCCUAACCCAGCCAUACGAGGAGACCCGCCUUCUACCCUUGUAUCAGGACAGUGUAAUCCCAAUUCUGUGCACCGCAGGAUGAACUGCAUCAGAUAGCCACAGAGACCAGGACAUUGGUGGCCAAGGGCUUGUGGGAUUGCAUUCUUGAACCUCCUGGGGCCAGCACAGUCACAGGGAAAAGCCCAGGAGAGGGGCUUGCACAGGGCCAGACUGGACCCUCGAGCUGAGGCCCUGGCAGGAGCAUGAGGUCUCCCACAGGAGAGGACAGUUAGGAGGUCGGAGCCCAGGUACAGCUGAGGAACUAGAACCUGAGGCCCAUCACUUGCCUGGAUUCAGCCUCCAAUCCCUGACAGCCUCUUCCAGCUCUUUCCCAAGUCUGGGCUCUUGUCUCCAUUCAGCCAGCUCGGCCCCUCAGGUUCCUGUUUCCCCUAAUACCAGUAUUAGGAUAGGCCGUGGGGGGGUGGUGGUGGGGCAGAGGAGGGCGGACUGGGAGCGGUCAAGACCCCAACACAACUCCAGGAAACCCAGGACCUCAUGGUGAGAUGCAGAAGACUUUUCAAAUUGGGAAUAGUUCCUGGAUGCCUUUCCAACCUCCAGCCUUGCCCUGUCUCCUACUUGCCCCCCGCUCCCCAGUUUAGGAGUUUGUGGCCCCAGCCCUCUUCCCACUCACCUCCUGUGAGGGGUAAUGGGGGACGGAAGGGAGGUGCUCCCCACCAGGCAGGGACCCUACCGCUGGGGCAACACUGGUGCUGUGGCUCUCCCUCAAGUCUUGAGUUUCUUCCCAUAGCCUCACCUAUAAAAUGGGAGUUUUGUUUCUGCCCUGCCACCUCUUGAGCCAGAGUCAGACUAUGAUGUACCAGCUGGGGGUGCUGCCUGGCCAGGGGAUCCUCCCCCAUGCCCCUGGCUUCCCACCCUUGCUUCUGUGCCAUCUCAUGGGAUAAAUUACUCCUAUGGUGCAGACAAAACCCUCCUGCCCACACUUGUUGGACCCAUAUUCAUUCAAGUCCUCACACAACAUACCCUGCAAGGAACAGCUUGCAGGGAGACACCUUUGGGUCUAGAAGGGACUAUGGGGGUUCAUGAGGCAGAGACCAACACUCAGCCAACCCCAGGGGUCACUAUCGCCCCUCUAGCCCCCAGUAUGGGCCCACAUGAAUCUCUCCCCUGCCAUUUCUAUUCUGGGGCCCAGCACUCUUUCCACCCUGACCUCCCCAUGUAUGACCUGGCGGUGCACACACCUGUCUCCACACCAGACGGGCCCCAUGCCCAGGACUGAAGGCUUCAUUUCUGCAGCUGGUCCUUAGGGCCAGAAUGCCAAAGCCCUCGGAGUUCACCCCCAGGGCCCAGUGGGCAGCCCCCAACUCCUCAGCAUGGGUGCCCCAUGCCUGGGGUAGCUGUGCCUCUAAGCCAGAGGUGAUUAGGAAGCGCUUGGUUCCGCCACAGAGCCAGCUCCCUGCGGCCCCUGGGACCUGCCCACCACGGGAGCAUCACCAGGUCCCCAGCCUUGCCCUCCAGCAGUCCUUCCCCACCCAGCCUGUUAGAGGCAGAGGGAGCCGCUCCUAUGGUUCUGUGUCAUCUGUCAUGUGCCUCUGUCCAGGUCUUCAGUGAAGCCAUCACCUAGACAGAAUACACCCAGGAGCCUCCAGUUCAGUAGUGACAGGAAGCAGGCAUGUGGGAGGGCUGUUCACAAACCUCAUCUCCCCACUGAGCGGACAUGCUCAUGGUUGACCCACAUCUCCUCCAGGACUUCCAACACCAGGGGCUUGGGCUCCUGGCACCACCACAGUGUUGGCCUUGUGCUCUGGCCAGUGCUGUGCCCUCCUCAGCCUGGAAGUCACACUCAGGUGUCAUGGCCAUAGGGGAGGCCCCUGUGCAUGCCCAAGGGAGUUCUGAGGGUAGGGCACAGGCCUGCUGCUCCUCAGGCAUGGGGAUGCCCUUGGCAGGCCCCGUCUUCUAUCUCUGGGCCUUGGUGCCCUGCCCAGGUCCAGGCCAGGCUUUGAAGGCUAUGGGCGCCCACCCUUCCUUCCGUCCAAGUCCAGGAUCCUCAGGCCAGGCAGUGGGGCCAGCUGGGCUCUCUCCUGCUCCAGAUUUCUGGUCUCAGAUGGCCCACUCCCACCCCACCCCCGCCAGCUUUGUUCCUAUCCAGGAUGCACCUGGGCGGCCUCUGGCCCCUGAUUGUUUGCUCUGAGGCCAGCUGGGCCACAUCAGGGGGAAAGAAAUGCCAGACCCAGGACAAAGCACCCAGUGGGUGCUGGGGCCAGUGUCCCUGCGAACCAGCCAGGCCACCCUGAGAUACUCACCAACUUCUCUUUCAAAUGGGCGGGGCACUGCACACUUCCUGGGGCUCUGGAAAUGAGGAAGUGGGGGACCUCACAGGGUUCCACUCUAUGCUUAGAUUAAAGCAGGCCCCAAGAAGACAGAAUGAUACCAGAGGAAGCUCCCUGAGCCACCUGUAGGCACGGCAGCGCUCCGAUUCUCCAGCCCAGUCCCCAGCAAGAUGUUCCAGCCCACAUUGGCUUCUGGGUAUGUCAGCAAUCCCACUAGGAACUCUGUGCCUCUGAGCUGAUCUGGGCAGAUCCGUGUCGAUGUGGGAACUGAGGUCCAGACAGGAGUGCGACCUCGUCCUGGGCUCCAUGAUGGACAGGGACCACAUGCAUGCAAGAGCGUGCCCCUCACCACCCUAAGAAUGGCCCUAAGCCAGGAGCCCAGGCACUGGCACGCAGAAGCUGCCAGACCACCAAACCAGUUGCCCUCUCCCCACACUCCCUGCACCCUUAUCUCCAUGCCCUGCCAGGCACUUCCCUACCCCAAUUCACAAAGAGCAGGGUGAGUGACAGGAGGGACCAGGAGGGGCCUUUUUUUGGGGGUCAUCACAUUGCAGAAGUGAGAAGAGUCCCAGCCUGUCACAAGCUGGUGGUAGACCUGGGGGUGGAUGGGGAACCCAGGUGUCCCAAGUCCCACUUGGUGCAACCUGCUUCCUGCCCAAUGGUCCUGUGCUCUUCCCCAGCCCUCCUCUUAGGACUACAGCCCCUUCCUAAGAACCCCAUACUCACUCCAUAAUGAAGACAUCCUCCAGCGACUCCUGGGGCCUUUCCUUGCUCUGGGUCUGGCUCAGAUCAGGUGGCGCAGAUGGCAGGCUGUGCCCAGUCACUCUCCACCCCUCACCCUUCUUCUGACCCACCCUCACAGCCCCCCAGCUCCCAGCUCUAUCUCCACACUCAGCCUGCUCUCCCACAGUGCGAGCCAGGCCCAGGGAAUGUGGAGCCCUGUCCUCCCAGACCCCCACCCUGCCUCCUACACAGAUGCACUAGCUGUGGCCCAGCAAAGUCCUGACUCCGUAGGCUCAGGGCUCCUAUCUACUACUUUCCCAAUGGCCUGGAGCAGGCCCUGACUAGAAUCCACCCCUUAUCCACCUGGUACAGAGCACAAGACCCCUUAUAUCUGCCCCAUCCUCCAUUUAAAGGACAACCCAAACCAACUCAGGUCAAACCAAGGGUGGGAGAAGUGCAGCCCAGCAAGAAUAGGGCCAAAGAGCUGGCCACUGUGUGUCACCAGAGCAUGGCCACCCACGGCCGAGGACCCCACUCUGCGAGGCUGUGGAUUGAGGGGUGAGAACGCUUCUGUAUCUCUCCCCUUCCAGAGAAACGUGUUUUCCUGCUUCCACCCAUCAAAGCCACCACCCCCCCCACCCCUCCCCAAAGAGGUUCUAGAAACUUCCCUUAAGUCAAAGUGGAAACAAUUCCCUCCCCAGAGAGCUAACCAGGGACAGGAAGAACAAGUGCUAAGUCUAGGGAGGCAGAGGCCUCGGGCUGGUCCCACUGGGAGCCACCAGCAGGUUAGGAAGUUGGGCUACAAAUGGACUCCUCUAUGGUCCACCUCAGUCUGCUCCUGAGGCAGCAGGCGUAACAGGCAGGAGGGAUGUUUGAGGCAGGGCAGCCCCCACACCUAAGGGGUAGCAGCUGAGGGAGCCUGUGCUGUCCCUUUGCCCAGGGGUGCUGGGUGGCAUCACCCCUCCUGCCGAUCACAGCAGAACCACAGCGAAACACACAAGCUCACUCCAGGCCCCACAGCUGGUGAGUGGGGAGAAGCUGGAAACACACCCAGUCCUAGCUCAGUCCUUCCCACGCCCAGCCCUGUAACCCAAGGGCUUGGGUGCUGCACUCUGGAAGCUGGGCCGCAAUGGACACUCAUGGCUAUCAGCACCGUUUAGGGGACUCUUGAGCACUCACAGGACAUACCUCAAUUCAGACCGUGGGCUCUGGGGCUCCCCAGGUGUGUGUUCAGUUACUGGACAGAUGCUGACCCUGGGGAGGGGGGUCUCAGGCCCAGGAAGGGCCUCCUAGGUCACUGAGUGUCCGGCAGGAGGCAGCCCCACGGGACCCUCUGCAUGUGACAUGUUACAUGUGCAAUGUGAUAGGACCCGGUGUUGUUCUGGGCUGCACUCUGUGGAUUCAUCAUCAUUCCACACAAGAUACACAGGAAAAAUAAGGCUUGACUGGUUUGGUUGCCUGUGAGUGGUAUAAUUAUCGAUUUUUUGUUUCUCUAUAAUUUUAUAUAUUCUGAGAAUUAUCUUCAAGAAGAUGCAUUGCUAAAAAAAACGAUAACAAAAUCUCCCAAGCCAAGGCACCCUGCCCCCCACUCUGUUCCCCAGAACAGCACAUGUCUGGGCUACAGCUUGGGAAUGCCAGGGCUUCUGUUCUUGUAGGGCAACUUAGACUGUGCUUCUGGGGUCUUGGUAUCUGUUACACAAUCUCAGUGGUCCCAGGGCCACCCUUGUCUCAGGCCCGGGCACUUGGUCAUGCCUGGUGGCUCUGCACAGCAGCCCAGGGUGGGACCUAUCACACACCCCCUCCGUCCCUCAGGUCCUUUCCCCACAAUGUUUCCUGGCCUAUGAGCUGAAGGGGAGGGGGAGAUAAAGGGGACAGAGCCUGGGCUCCGGUGCCCUCCUCUUGCCAAAAGCCAGUCCCAGGAGGCUUCAAGGGUCCUGUUCACACAUGUCAGAGGGGCAGCUGGAAAUGUCGAGCUAGAAAAGCCCAAGCCUGAUGUCUUUCAGCAAUUUUAAUACAUUUGAGAAUAUUUCAUAGAACAAAAUAAAAAAGUAUUGUCAAUCAGCAGAAGCCCAUGGUUGAGGGAUACAGAAAUGUAACUGGCCCUUUUGCAGUAAAGCUUGUGCUUGAAGGGAGAAGAGGCAAAAUGACUUCCUGGAGGCUUCAGGUCAAGUGCCACUGGACUAAAAGCACCUCACAGUAGCACUUUUAGGUAUGUAUGACCAUCUAGAAUUAUCGUAUAAAGCCAACAUCAUAAAAAGAAUCCUAUUAGAAAAAGCAAAAAUCACGCUUCUAGAAUCUUCUCACCUGUGGACCCACAUGCAAAUGUGGGCAGCCCGGCCAGACACCCCUGCACAGCUUCUUGUCAGAGAGACAGAAAUGGACCUUUAAGCAGGUGGGACUGGUCCCGGCACUCCCCGUGGCCACCCUCUGCCCUGUCACUGACCCCACUGGCAGCCUUGUGAGCACAGCCCCAUGCCUACCAGCAUGAGUUGCCAGGGCUGGCUCGCUUGGCUAGGAAGGGACAGAUGUGUGAACUGCAGAUCCAGGGAAAUCUUUUCCUUCACAGAACAAAAAAGCACCCCCAACACAAUAAAUAAACAAAAA